rnacentral:rRNA from 1 species
UGCCAGCAGCCGCGGUAAUACGGAGGAUCCGAGCGUUAUCCGGAUUUAUUGGGUUUAAAGGGUGCGUAGGCGGCCAAUUAAGUCAGGGGUGAAAUACGGUGGCUCAACCAUCGCAGUGCCUUUGAUACUGAUGGGCUUGAAUCCAUUUGAAGUGGGCGGAAUAAGACAAGUAGCGGUGAAAUGCAUAGAUAUGUCUUAGAACUCCGAUUGCGAAGGCAGCUCACUAAGCUGGUAUUGACGCUGAUGCACGAAAGCGUGGGGAUCGAACAGGAUUAGAUACCCUGGUAGUCCACGCCCUAAACGAUGAUAACUCGAUGUUGGCGAUAGACAGCCAGCGUCCCAGCGAAAGCGUUAAGUUAUCCACCUGGGGAGUACGCCCGCAAGGGUGAAACUCAAAGGAAUUGACGGGGGCCCGCACAAG